rnacentral:tRNA from 1 species
GGCGACGUGGCGGAGUGGUUACGCAGCGGAUUGCAAAUCCGAAGACACCGGUUCGAUUCCGGUCGUCGCCUCCA